rnacentral:lncRNA from 1 species
AUGCAAUUGCUUGGGCAGGCCAGGGCAGAGGAGAUGUCCUUGCCCUGCCGGGAGGAGGUCGCUUGUUUCAGCAUCUCUGCUGGGCUCCUGCAGGACAUGGGAUGCCUUGGCACUGUGACAGCACAAAGAGUGGCUCGUGUUUUGCCACCUGAGCUCCGCCAGGACCACCCGCUGCGCCGAGAGCCGGAGGUCCGGUUUCCACCGCGGCUCUGUCCUCAGCUUCCCAGGCAUCUCUGGUGUACAAAAGCAUGCUCGUUGUGACACCAGCCCCAUUGCUCCCCAAAGGACUCAGCCUUCUAACUCCAGACCAUGGCACACACCUCUGAAUGGCAUUACCGUUCUGAGAAGUGCAGUGAGACCACUCUUCACCCCUACUGUGAGGUGGUAAUUAUACUUCAAAAGCACUUUGGUGCGCCUCUCCCUCACAAGGAAAGCAUAACUCAGAAGUGACAGAAGGGAUGUUGCAGAGAAGUUGUUCAUCGCUCAUUAACGUCUCAGCUGUGGUGGGUGCAAUGAUAGUGAGAAAUGCCAGCUGUCGUGGGGUUUAAUAGUAGUUCUUCCAUGGACAGUUAAUUGUACUAAAUCAUAUCAUAAGCGUUUUCUGACAAGCAACUCUUUAUCACAAAGCUAAGACUUUUAAGUGAAUGUUUAAGUCACUUCAUAACUGUUUCAGGAUGAUAUCAGAAAGUGGAAUAUGCAUCUGGGAAAGUUGCUCUUGCACAUUAAAACUCUACAGAGUGUGUGGUUAAUGUACAAACCCCAACAAAGAUGCGUUCAGGUUAAGGACUCGUCCAAGAGUCACUGAAGUCAAAUAUGCAGUGCUUGGGGAUAUGCUGGGAAAUUAUAUUUACAUUCACUGACUGCCAUUAAUUUCUGAAAUGUGUUGUCCUGUUUUUUCCCUUGUGGUCACAACAUUUCAGAAGCAAGUGUGAAACGACAGACAAUUACAUUUUGCCACUAAAAAUCUAAGACUUCUGUCUUAGCAAUCAUGGCUAAUCAGAAUUCUGGCCUGGAAGGCUGGAAAGGAAGGGAGAUAAACACUUGCAGAGGCAUUCAUUUCUGACCACGAGAAGGGACAGACCCUGAGGCUAGUAGAAAUGCUUGGGGUCACACAGGGAAUGUUAUUUAGACCCCAGCACACACCUUACUUACUCUGCAGUGGGAGUACAGGUGACAGCAGUGAUUGGUGUGGGUUGGAGGCUUGUGGAAGUCUCCCACCUUUACCUGCAUUGCCACGUAGGGGGGAGGAUGUUCACACCUGGAUGGCAUACACAAAUUGAGGGUGCAGCAGCAGAGCUGUAGAUGGAGGCUUGCUUGCAAACUGCUGUGGCUGGAGAAGAUGCAGGGUCUGUCUAUGCUGAUGGUGGCCCCACAAAGGUAUCCUUGCACCUUCACUCAUGAUGCAUCUGUCAUUGUGACCUGAGACAGCAACUGAAGUCCCGGUCUGUGGAAUCAGGGGUUGCUUUCUCUUUGCUGGUCCAUCUGGAGACCUCUCGGGCUGCCUAGAGGCAGGCUGGUGUUUGGAGUAGCAAGAAGAAGAGAAGAAUAAGUCACAUCUGUCAAUCAGUAAUAAUGGACAAAGUGCUUUUAUCCAUGAUUUUUUGAAGAAUCACAGUAAAAGUAUAGACAAAUAGCUGACUUCUAAUAACUAAGUGCUACAAGCUAAAAUGAAAUACAAAUUUGAAGGGAUGAUUUGCACUUAAUUUCCUUGUAAGUAUCAUGCUAUAUAACAUUGCUUGAAGGCCUUAUAUAUGACUGAAUUUCAUUCUAACUGCAAUAUGUAAGGCACGAUUUAGUGUCUGGCUUACAAGAACUAAUAAGCAUCUAAAGAAAGCUAUCUUAAAACGUCAAUAUGAGCCUGGCUGAACAGAAAUUACUUGUCUGUAGCCAUCUGUUAUGCACUAGAGUUAAACAGACACAAGUGCUUUUUCCUGGAAGCCAUCUGCACAAAUAUUGAUUGAGUAAUUUCAUAAAAUUUCGAUUUAGUAAUUUACCAGUUGACGAGGUGAUAGUGCAUAGCAUAGGUCUGAGUUCCCUGGCAUUUCUACUGCAGCUAAAACAACAUUGAUGUGCAUUUCUUUUGCCAUUAGCAUUAUUGCAAAAGGAGACACUGGAAUGAAAUCCAACAUAACCUAUUGAGAGAGUCUGUAAAAUAUUUUCCUAUUAACAUCAGAAUAAAAAAAUAAUGUGGUAUUCCA